rnacentral:sRNA from 1 species
AACUUGCGUGAGGGAUUGAUGCGGGAUCUUUUUUUAUGAGACUUUCGAGACCAAAAUAUAUUUUGGGUAAAUAUAUCGAAGCGAAGUUUUAAAAAAAAGAUAUAGCGGAAAGCCCGACUUGAG